GUUAAUCUUAUUUGGAGUUUCCUGUGCCUCUUGGACUUGAAUGCCUAUUUCCUUACCCAAAUUAGGGAAGUUGUCAGCUAUAAUUUGUUCAAAUAAACUUUCUGCCCCCUUUUCCUGUGUUCUUCUU